rnacentral:rRNA from 1 species
GACGAACGCUGGCGGCGUGCUUAACACAUGCAAGUCGAACGGAAAGGCCCUGCUUUUGUGGGGUGCUCGAGUGGCGAACGGGUGAGUAACACGUGAGUAACCUGCCCUUGACUUUGGGAUAACUUCAGGAAACUGGGGCUAAUACCGGAUAGGAGCUCCUGCUGCAUGGUGGGGGUUGGAAAGUUUCGGCGGUUGGGGAUGGACUCGCGGCUUAUCAGCUUGUUGGUGGGGUAGUGGCUUACCAAGGCUUUGACGGGUAGCCGGCCUGAGAGGGUGACCGGCCACAUUGGGACUGAGAUACGUCCCAGACUCCUACGGGAGGCAGCAGUGGGGAAUAUUGCACAAUGGGCGGAAGCCUGAUGCAGCAACGCAGCGUGCGGGAUGACGGCCUUCGGGUUGUAAACCGCUUUCGCCUGUGACGAAGCGUGAGUGACGGUAAUGGGUAAAGAAGCACCGGCUAACUACGUG